GCGCGCUUAGCUCAGCUGGUUAGAGCACCGGUUUUACACACCGGGGGUCGGGGGUUCGAAUCCCUCAGCGCGCA
rnacentral:tRNA from 1 species